rnacentral:rRNA from 1 species
GACGAACGCUGGCGGCGUGCUUAACACAUGCAAGUCGAACGGAAAGGCCAUGCUUUUGUGGGGUGCUCGAGUGGCGAACGGGUGAGUAACACGUGAGUAACCUGCCCUUGACUUUGGGAUAACUUCAGGAAACUGGGGCUAAUACAGGAUAGGAGCUCCUGCUGCAUGGUGGGGGUUGGAAAGAUUCGGCGGUUGGGGAUGGAAUCGCGGCUUAUCAGCUUGUUGGUGGGGUAGUGGCUUACCAAGCCUUUGACGGGUAGCCGGCCUGAGGGGGUGACCGGCCACACUGGGACUGAGAGACGGCCGAGACUCCUACGGGAGGGAGCAGUGGGGAAUAUUGCACAAUGGGCGGAAGGCUGAUGAAGCAACGCCGCGUGCGGGAUAACGGCCUUCGGGUUGUAAACCGAUUUCGCCUGUGACGAAGCGUGAGUGACGGUAAUGGGUAAAGAAGCACCGGCUAACUACGUG